rnacentral:misc_RNA from 1 species
GUAGGUGAACCUGCGGAAGGAUCAUUAACACAAUACUUUCAAUAUCAACCUAGGAGCACCGUCUGACACUAAGAAAGCGGCCGCUAGGAAGGCAAUGGUUCGAGUUGUCACACACAGCUCGGCUCUCCUAGAUGUUCUCCCUUCCCUCCUACUUUUCUGUUCUACGGCACUGAGAGGAAAGCAACGCGUAACCCGCUUGUGGAAGAGGCGAUAGCUGACUCCUUAGAUGACUACAGCCCGCGCCAUGGCU